rnacentral:snRNA from 1 species
GGAUGCAAGAGUGAUCUGGCUGACUAGAUGGGUGUCCCCUUCCUCCCUCACUGCUCCAUGUGUGUCCCUCCCGAAGCUGUACACUCGGUCUAAAGAGGAUGACCUUCCCCAAACAGAGAUGAUACAAGUAGCUGUGCUCCCCUGCUAGAACCUUCCAAUAAGCUCUCAAGUGGCACUUGUGCAAUACAGUCAUGAUAAUGAAUAAAUGAUUUGGGGCCAGAGUUGUUGCUCAGUAGU